ACGCUGGCGGCGUGCCUAAUACAUGCAAGUCGAGCGAGAUGUUAGCGCAUGAACCUUCGGGGGAUUAUGCUAACGGACAGCGGCGGACGGGUGAGUAACGCGUAGGCAACCUGCCCCUGACAGAGGGAUAGCCAUUGGAAACGAUGAUUAAAACCUCAUGACACCGUAGAAGCACAUGCUUCAUCGGUCAAAGAUUUAUCGGUCAGGGAUGGGCCUGCGUCUGAUUAACUAGUUGGUGAGGUAACGGCUCACCAAGGUGACGAUCAGUAGCCGACCUGAGAGGGUAAUCGGCCACAUUGGAACUGAGACACGGUCCAAACUUCUACGGAAGGCAGCAGUAGGGAAUCCUGCACAAUGGGCGAAAGCCUGAUGCAGCAACGCCGCGUGAAGGAUGAAGGCCUUCGGGUUGUAAACUUCUGUUCUAAGGGAAGAAACAAAUGACGGUACCUUAGGAGCAAGCCCCGGCUAACUACGUGCCAGCAGCCGCGGUAAUACGUAGGGGGCAAGCGUUAUCCGGAAUUAUUGGGCGUAAAGAGUGCGUAGGUGGUUACCUAAGCGCAAGGUUUAAUUUAGAGGCUCAACCUCUACUUGCCUUGCGAACUGGGCUACUUGAGUGCAGGAGGGGAAAGCGGAAUUCCUAGUGUAGCGGUGAAAUGCGUAGAUAUUAGGAGGAACACCAGCGGCGAAGGCGGCUUUCUGGACUGUAACUGACACUGAGGCACGAAAGCGUGGGUAGCAAACAGGAUUAGAUACCCUGGUAGUCCACGCCGUAAACGAUGAGCACUAGGUGUUGGGCCCGUUAGGGCUCAGUGCCGCAGUUAACGCAAUAAGUGCUCCGCCUGGGGAGUACGCUCGCAAGAGUAAAACUCAAAGGAAUUGACGGGGACCCGCACAAGCAGCGGAGCAUGUGGUUUAAUUCGAAGCAACGCGA
rnacentral:rRNA from 1 species